GACGAACGCUGGCGGCGUGCUUAACACAUGCAAGUCGAACGGAAAGGCCCUGCUUUUGUGGGGUGCUCGAGUGGCGAACGGGUGAGUAACACGUGAGUAACCUGCCCUUGACUUUGGGAUAACUUCAGGAAACUGGGGCUAAUACCGGAUAGGAUCUCCUGCUGCAUGGUGGGGGUGGGAAAGUUUCGGCGGUUGGGGAUGGACUCGCGGCUUAUCAGCUUGUUGGUGGGGUAGUGGCUUACCAAGGCUUUGACGGGUAGCCGGCCUGAGAGGGUGACCGGCCACAUUGGGACUGAGAUACGGCCCAGACUCCUACGGGAGGCAGCAGUGGGGAAUAUUGCACAAUGGGCGGAAGCCUGAUGCAGCAACGCCGCGUGCGGGAUGACGGCCUUCGGGUUGUAAACCGCUUUCGCCUGUGACGAAGCGUGAGUGACGGUAAUGGGUAAAGAAGCACCGGCUAACUACGUG
rnacentral:rRNA from 1 species